rnacentral:rRNA from 1 species
AGCGAACGCUGGCGGCAGGCUUAACACAUGCAAGUCGAGCGGGCGUAGCAAUACGUCAGCGGCAGACGGGUGCGUAACGCGUGGGAACGUACCUUUUGGUUCGGAACAACACAGGGAAACUUGUGCUAAUACCGGAUAAGCCCUUACGGGGAAAGAUUUAUCGCCGAAAGAUCGGCCCGCGUCUGAUUAGCUAGUUGGUGAGGUAACGGCUCACCAAGGCGACGAUCAGUAGCUGGUCUGAGAGGAUGAUCAGCCACAUUGGGACUGAGACACGGCCCAAACUCCUACGGGAGGCAGCAGUGGGGAAUAUUGGACAAUGGGGGCAACCCUGAUCCAGCCAUGCCGCGUGAGUGAUGAAGGCCCUAGGGUUGUAAAGCUCUUUUGUGCGGGAAGAUAAUGACGGUACCGCAAGAAUAAGCCCCGGCUAACUUCGUG